AGUCGAACGCACAGCGAAAGGUGCUUGCACCUUUCAAGUGAGUGGCGAACGGGUGAGUAACACGUGGACAACCUGCCUCAAGGCUGGGGAUAACAUUUGGAAACAGAUGCUAAUACCGAAUAAAACUUAGUGUCGCAUGACAAAAAGUUAAAAGGCGCUUCGGCGUCACCUAGAGAUGGAUCCGCGGUGCAUUAGUUAGUUGGUGGGGUAAAGGCCUACCAAGACAAUGAUGCAUAGCCGAGUUGAGAGACUGAUCGGCCACAUUGGGACUGAGACACGGCCCAAACUCCUACGGGAGGCUGCAGUAGGGAAUCUUCCACAAUGGGCGAAAGCCUGAUGGAGCAACGCCGCGUGUGUGAUGAAGGCUUUCGGGUCGUAAAGCACUGUUGUAUGGGAAGAACAGCUAGAAUAGGAAAUGAUUUUAGUUUGACGGUACCAUACCAGAAAGGGACGGCUAAAUACGUGCCAGCAGCCGCGGUAAUACGUAUGUCCCGAGCGUUAUCCGGAUUUAUUGGGCGUAAAGCGAGCGCAGACGGUUUAUUAAGUCUGAUGUGAAAGCCCGGAGCUCAACUCCGGAAUGGCAUUGGAAACUGGUUAACUUGAGUGCAGUAGAGGUAAGUGGAACUCCAUGUGUAGCGGUGGAAUGCGUAGAUAUAUGGAAGAACACCAGUGGCGAAGGCGGCUUACUGGACUGCAACUGACGUUGAGGCUCGAAAGUGUGGGUAGCAAACAGAUUAGAUACCCUGGUAGUCCACACCGUAAACGAUGAACACUAGGUGUUAGGAGGUUUCCGCCUCUUAGUGCCGAAGCUAACGCAUUAAGUGUUCCGCCUGGGGAGUACGACCGCAAGUUGAAACUCAAAGGAAUUGACGGG
rnacentral:rRNA from 1 species